CUAAACUUUUCCAAUAAAAUUUUUUAUUAGAAGUUUCCCUCCAUUAUUGUUCCUAAUGAAAUAUUUGGGAGGGAAUUUUUUUUAAAAAUGAAAUAUUUUCUCCCAUUUUCUAAAAGAAAAAAUGACAGUACAAGAAAUAUUUGCCCAUUUUUUAUCCCACACCUCCGUCGACUUGCUGGUGCUGAAGAAAUUUUCAUUUUUACUGCCGCAUCUUCCACCACCUCUAUUGCUGCUGUUAUCGCUGCUUCCACAUUAAUGGUUGAUUAAUUCUUGAAAUGUGGUGCAGUACUCGAAUUGCAUCAUGGAGAGCUGAACUAGGUCUACCUGAACUGAAUGUUGGAAUUAUUUAGUUGUGGAGGAAAGUCUUGGUGAGCAGUUGGAAAUGGUGGCCAAGCGACAAUUUAACCCAAUGGAAUGUAAUCAUCAAGACUUUAGGCAAUUACGAUUUUUGUUAUUCCUGAUACUGUAGUGAUAUAUUUGCUUUUUAUAAAGUUAAUUAAUUGCUAGCAUACCCCUUGAUACAAGUUUCUUUAUUCGUUGAUGUAUUACACGAGAUUUACUCCUUGUUUGAAGUUCAUUGCAAGUU